rnacentral:hammerhead_ribozyme from 1 species
GCACUACUGAGGAGUCCCAUAAUAGGACGAAACGGCAGUCCAAUGC